GGAGGGGAUAGCUCAGUGGUAGAGUGCGUGCUUAGCAUGCACGAGGUCCUGGGUUCAAUCCCCAAUCCCUCCA
rnacentral:tRNA from 1 species